GACGAACGCUGGCGGCGUGCUUAACACAUGCAAGUCGAACGGAAAGGCCCUGCUUUUGUGGGGUGCUCGAGUGGCGAACGGGUGAGUAACACGUGAGUAACCUGCCCUUGACUUUGGGAUAACUUCAGGAAACUGGGGCUAAUACCGGAUAGGAGCUCCUGCUGCAUGGUGGGGGUUGGAAAGUUUCGGCGGUUGGGGAUGGACUCGCGGCUUAUCAGCUUGUUGGUGGGGUAGUGGCUUACCAAGGCUUUGACGGGUAGCCGGCCUGAGAGGGUGACCGGCCACAUUGGGACUGAGAUACGGCCCAGACUCCUACGGGAGGCAGAAGUGGGGAAUAUUGCACAAUGGGCGGAAGCCUGAUGCAGCAACGCCGCGUGCGGGAUGACGGCCUUCGGGUUGUAAACCGCUUUCGCCUGUGACGAAGCGUGAGUGACGGUAAUGGGUAAAGAAGCACAGGCUAACUACGUG
rnacentral:rRNA from 1 species